rnacentral:rRNA from 1 species
CUAACGCGUUAAGUCGACCGCCUGGGGAGUACGGCCGCAAGGUUAAAACUCAAAUGAAUUGACGGGGGCCCGCACAAGCGGUGGAGCAUGUGGUUUAAUUCGAUGCAACGCGAAGAACCUUACCUGGUCUUGACAUCCACGGAAGUUUUCAGAGAUGAGAAUGUGCCUUCGGGAACCGUGAGACAGGUGCUGCAUGGCUGUCGUCAGCUCGUGUUGUGAAAUGUUGGGUUAAGUCCCGCAACGAGCGCAACCCUUAUCCUUUGUUGCCAGCGGUCCGGCCGGGAACUCAAAGGAGACUGCCAGUGAUAAACUGGAGGAAGGUGGGGAUGACGUCAAGUCAUCAUGGCCCUUACGACCAGGGCUACACACGUGCUACAAUGGCGCAUACAAAGAGAAGCGACCUCGCGAGAGCAAGCGGACCUCAUAAAGUGCGUCGUAGUCCGGAUUGGAGUCUGCAACUCGACUCCAUGAAGUCGGAAUCGCUAGUAAUCGUGGAUCAGAAUGCCACGGUGAAUACGUUCCCGGGCCUUGUACACACCGCCCGUCACACCAUGGGAGUGGGUUGCAAAAGAAGUAGGUAGCUUAACCUUCGGGAGGGCGCUUACCACUUUGUGAUUCAUGACUGGGGUGAAGUCGUAACAAGGUAACCGUAGGGGAACCUGCGGUUGGAUCAC